AGAGCCCGUGUUCUAGCUGGGAGGUUCCCUGACAGUGCUCAGUCAGCCCUGCUCACCUUGUCCCCAGGCCAGGCCUCUAACUGGGUCAUUCUGUCAGAGAAUAUACAAAGCAAGUGGUCACAUGCUUUGCUAAUCCACUCAUGUGCAUUCAGGGGACACUGACUCACACAAAACCAGAAUCCACAACACGAUGCCAGCUCACUCUCCAAGCCGCAUGUCAGGGACCCGACCUGUGUGUUCACAUAGGCUGCUACAACACCAGGGGGGAGUCCAGAUGCUGAACGUCCUGCUUCCUGUGCUUUUGGAAAUGGAAGGGGAUGGCAAGACUUGAGAGAGGUUGCCUAAAAUUACACAGCUAGUAAACUGCUGUCCCUGAACCUGCCUGCUCUCCACAGCAUGGACAACAGCUGAUUAAGGAGUCCAUCAGGUUAAGCCUGAAAGUCCCCAGGAAGCACAAUGGCAAAGGUUUGAGAAAUGCCAAACUCUGGCCAACUCCGGGCUAAUUUGGGAUUCCAAAGUGGUAAGGUAAGACACGGGGCCACUGGAGCUAUGGAGUUGCCCCACCAGUGAAGACUGCUUCCCACCACGGCCUUUCGCAAGCCAGAAAACAUUUGGAAAACUUGAGAAUUUGACUACAUCCAGAAACUGGCACUGAGUAAUCACUCCAUGGUUGAGCAAGUGCUUUGCUGAAAAAGGUCUAUUGGAUGACAAACCAUACAUCAACUUGCCUUCACUUUAUUGGAAGGAGAAAUUCUAAACAGAUUCUGAAAGAGAUCAACCCUAACUUUAUUUAGGUCACGCUGCUGACACACACAAAUAAUGGGAAGCGUGUGACUAAUUGAGAAACAGCAAGGAAAGGUCAAUGCCUAGUUUAUUUCUUAACUCACAAUAAUGUGAGUAACACUCGUAGGCAUUUGCACUAUCCACUCGUCGAUGCUGCAGCCGUUAAAGGAACAGAAGUAGGGAGGUUCAUUUAAACUCAUUUUUUUUUAAAAUAAAAAAGCUCUGCCAGUACAUGGCGACUUAAACCUGAAAACCACACAUUUCAGAACAGCUCUCAAAUGCAUUUAGAUAAUGAAGCCUCAGUAACCUACCUGUGCAGGAGAAAUGAUUAUAACCCCCAUUUUAUCAAUAAGCAGCUGGAUAUUCUUGCAUGUGAAGUGAUCUGCCCAAAGUCCCUCAUUAGUUAAUGAUAGUUGAGCCAGAAUUAGAUUGUGAGUCUCCAGGCUCCGUACCAAGGGCACAGGGCUCUGUGGUCUCGGGAGGGUAGGCCAAGUAUAAGAUGCUGAAUCCAAGCAAUACCUGUGUUUAUUAUGGACUGUGCAAUUCCUAUGUUGAUUAUGAUCACUGAUGUCCAUGUACCCCCGAAGGCAACCAGCCUUCCUGUACCUGGAUCCCUGCAUCUAGAUCUAUAAAGGACCCAGCAGGAAAUGAUGGGAACUUGAUCUAUUGGUGACUCACAAGGCCUGUGGCUCCGUUCAGAGCGAAUUCCCUGCUGAAGGUGGGGAGCAGCAUUUGAGCAUACAGGGAAGGUGGCACCAUGCUCUGGCACUCUGUACAUUGGCAACCUUUGGCUAGGAGGAAAGAUCAUCUUCUCUGAGCACACUGAAGAAAGACAGCCCAGGGAUGCCACAAAACCUGGGGGACCAGGCUGUGGAUACACUUCCCCGUCUACACACCCCCGGGGAGUGUUUGGUCUGAUGGAUGGCGAAGGUGGUGUUGAACAUGGUACUCACUCAGAGACACUGAAGAGCCUGGGGAAGCACAGAAUGCCCGUGUCACCCUCAUCUUGCGGGAAAAACUACAAGGGAAACGAGGCCAACCCAGAUCAUAAGUGGAUACGCUUCGAGUAGCCCCCGGGGCUUCUGAACACCAAGCGGAAGCUUGUCAGACAUUAAUGUGCCCAGGGACCUGCAGGUUCUGCUUCAGCCUGGCUCAGGUGGGGCUGAGAUUCUGCAUUUCAAAUAAGCACUAAAGGGAUGAUUUCCAUGCUCCCGGGCCGGACCACACACUGAGUAGCAGGAUCUAGAAUACCACGACCUUCUGUGCCCUUGUAAUUUCAGGCCUCCCCCUCACCCCAUCCCCCAUGCUCAUGACAGGCUCCUACAUCCUGCCAUAUGCACAUCCACCAAUUUCACUGGUCUGAGCUCAUCCUCUGUCUCACUCUGUGCCACCUUGGGCUGGGCUACUUCAUGCUUGCUGUCCCCUCUGCCUAGGAACUCUUCUGCUGAAUGACUAACUGCCAUGACCCCUCAUCUCCUCCAGUGCAGAACCAACCCUGCCCCCUGCUUGCAAGCACUGCACCCACUCUUGUGUCUCCUGUACCCCCUCCCUGUCCACGUUCUCCACAGCACUUACCACUAUUUUAAAAUUUCAUACAUGAUUGGCUUAGCUCACUGUCCACCUCACACCUGCCUGUCGAGCACAGAAGACAAGCAUUUUGUCUUGUUCACUGCUGGAUCCCAGUGUGUGGCAUCUAAUAGGCACUUCAAUAUUUGUUAAAUGAAGAAAGAAUUUAACUUCUAAUGAAAAUUUUAAAGUGCCUACCAUCCUCCUCAAGGACUCUGAGGAACUGUUUGCUUACAACUGAUGUGAAUGAUUGUUUUUCUUAACUGAACAAAGCACCUCGGGAUUUCCUAAGGAUCUGUUGUUAAAGACUACAGAUUCUCUCCUGUAACUGUGGGCUUCGUGGAGAAAGGCACUCCCAGUGUUUUCUAGUUCUUGUUUGCCAUUCAGCUGAUGGGGCUCCUCCUCCCACUCACAGGACCCACACAGAUGGGGAUAUAUCAAAAUCAACAGGCAGAUUGCCCCAGGAAAGGGUCCUACUCCCACCCAUGGAGAAAAGAAGGAAGCAGGACGGGAAUGUGCCCGUGGUACACACAAUGACUCCAAGGCUCAGCAAGUGAUGGGCCUGCUGGGGUCUCACUUGGUAAGGCUGGGACUGGAACCUAUGCAUGGCUCCUAAGUUACUCCUCUGCUCCUCUUUACAAACAGAAGUUGGCAGCUGGGUUGAGAGUGGUUUCAGCUACACAACUCAGGACAGGGACCCUGAAGAAGUCUAAUGAUAUCCAUGGAAUCAGAGAAAGUCUUCCUGGGAGUCAGUCCUGUGUGUGCAUCAACGGUGGCUACUGGUAAACAGAGGACCCUGUCCAGUGUGAGGCCAGGACCCACACUGCCCUUGAGCCUGGCUGUGCCUCUCACCAUACACACCCGAGAUAGGUGGGCAUGUGGGAAGCUCCGCAUUAACCACAGCACAGUUCCAUUCCCCAAGACAGGACAUUCUUAGAGCUUAUAGAUUACAAUUUUAAAGUUGCAGGUGGAAAUGUGUGUCCAAGUUCACUACCACCUUUCUCUAAAGGUUUCUCCUCUCCCACUCCAUCCCAAGUAAGCCCACGUGUCAGGGCAGGACUGGAGGCAUUCCUGAGUGUCAAGAGGAUUCCUGACUCACAUUCAAUUCACCCCUGGGGCCAGCGUCCCCAGAAGAAAGACCUGCCUAGUUCAUGAUUCACAUUGUACCUUAGAGUCCAGUUCGCCCUAAAGCUGCGUUGGAGGGCAGCUUGGGUGCUGGGUUUGCACUGGACACACAGACCUCUCUGCUUAGCUAUAGCCACCUGUGCACAUGCAGAACUGGCUUCUGGGAAAAUCCAAGUUAGAGGUCACCCUUAAGACACUAGAACUCAAUGUGCCCAGGGUGUGGUACGAUUUUGCAGUCCUGAUAUGAACAGUGUGGAUAAAAAGGACAGUUUGUGGCCUAUUUCAUAACGGCUCACUCCUGUUCCCAGCUAUCUGCCUAUAAUGAAGAACACACAAUUCUGUCUGUACCCUCCUGAGCAGGGCAUGAAGCCACAGUGAGGGGCUGGUCCGGGAACUGCCUGGGAACUGAAGGAAAGAAUGACUUUCUCUAGGUUCCGUUCAUGGGACCUAUGAAUUCAACAAACCAGAGAGAGAUUACUACGAGAAAAAUCAUGUACAUUUAAUUUCAUGUUAAUAUUUUUACAAGGAAAGAAGUGAAAACCCUAAAGAAGUGGUUGGACCCAGAGGCUUAUAUACUGCCUUAACAAAAGCAAUAAAUUGUGGAGAUAGGAUAAGACAAAGAAAAACUGGGUGUAGUGUGGGGUGGUAAAUUAUGGGAAAGUCACUAGGGAAUAUGUGGGAAAAAUUAAUGGAAGAUAAGGCUUAUUCUAGUGAGACUGAUACAAACUCUUCUGAUAUAAGCUCCUCCCCUUCUCUAAUGAUAAAAAUGUUCUCUUCCUGGUACAGGGAGGGGACUUUUCUUCCAAGAAAUAUAUGCUCUGACUUGAGAUAGAAAGAAGAAGGGCAGAGAACCCUCCUGCACUUGCUAAUUCUCAACUGCCACCAGCCUGGAUAAUCAAGGUGUCCAAAUGACAUACUUUGGGGCCUGUUCUGACUCCUGCAGGGCUGAGAAGCCAGCACUGUUGGGUAGCAGGGGGGCAGACUUUCACAUGUCAAGAAGAAAAGGAGUGAAAUGUAGGAAGAAAACUAAGUGGUAGCAGCUUCCCUAAGCCCUGCUUCCCAAAUGUGGCUUCCAGAGUCUCAUGCUGUUCCCAACGCUAUCAGGUUUUUAAUUUGUUUCUAAUCUCAAAACCUUUAUCCACUGUUACACCAAUGCCCAGAGUCUCACAGCCCCCAUCUCUCUCUCUUUCUCUUUCUCUAUCUCUCUCUCUCCCUCUCUCUCUCUCUCACUCUCUCUCUCUCCCUCUCUCUCUCUCUCUCUCUCUCUCUCUCUCUCUCUCUCACACACACACACACACACUCACCCUCACUUAAGAGAAGACAGUAAUGAGAAAAGCCAGGUCAGAGAAGAUGCUAGAAAAAGAAGAAAGUUGUAAGAAAAAGGAAGGUGGAGAAGAGGAGAAGCUGUCCUAACAGUCGGUCACCAAGCUCUUGACUCCCACCGCAUGGGGCCAGAUCUUUCGGGAACAAUGGAAGGACCUUCUGCUCCUUACUGCGCUCUUCUGCUACAGGUCUAAAGGAAACUAGCUAUUGUAAAUGGAUUCGCCCUUGCCCUCCGCAUCAAUCAGACUUGAGACCUGAACCUCUGUGAUUGUAAACCGAUGUCUGUUCUCACUUGCUCCCUGGGGUAAACUUCUGUGUCAAUCACAUGCCAAGAUGACAGUAAUGUUACCUCGAUGAAGUGCAAUUAAAAUUGCCAAGGAAUGUCCCUUAUCACAGAAUCACGGAGCUCGCAUCUUAAACCUUAGAAACAAACAUCAUCUACUGUUACCAGACUUUAUUGACAUGGAAACCGAGGCCCAAAGAGGUUGGUCAAGGUCACAUACAUUAUUAGGAACAGAGCUAUGCCAACUGUGAGGACAACGCUCUUUCCGCUACUCACACCGCCUAGCACAACUACGUUUAAUUUUAGCUCAUCACACAUUCAGCUUGCGCUUUCGAGGAAUGUUAUAGUCCCCACUCCAUCUGUUCAUCCUUCUACUAGCUUCUCUUUAUUCAGUGCUUCCCAUGCAUCUAUCUGAUGCACUCUCCUUAAAAAAACAGAGGAGAAGUCCGGGGUUUAAACUGAUCACCAUCUGUCUGUCAUUUGGACAGCCCUGGGAUGGCUCAAACACCUGUGGUUGACAAUGCUCCAUCUUCUUCUGAAGGGCUGGUUCUAGAUCUGCAAUCCACUUUGGGCAAAGACAGAAAAAAAAAUUCUUCCAAGAUUUACAGCCACUAAGAGUAAGGCCACCAUGGUCAUCUUAUGGCACACACCAUCACCUAAUUAGGUUUUGCUUUAAAUACAAUUAGAACUGUUCAGGUGGAAGCUAUCCAGCUAGAAAAACAUGUUUGGUUGUGCACCACUAUUAAAAUCUGUGUCAUGAAAAGUUGAAGGCACAGGCCUGGGGAUGUCACUCAGAGGUAGAGCUUUUGCUUAGCAUGUCUGAGACUCUGGGUUCCAUUCCCAGAACUGGAAGGAAGAAAAAAAGUUGACUCAGUUUGAACUUUUAGGGUGCUAAGCUGAAGUGCAGCCCCCAGAGUGUUUCAAGGGUCAUAGCUGUGAAGCGUGGUUGCCUCUGGGACACAGAAACAGGUGUGAUCCUCAUUUCCACCAGAGCCUAGGUCAAAAGCCACACCAAUGGAAAGGGUUGCAGGGUUUUCAAAAUGCUACCAGGUAUGAGGAAAAAAACUUCAGCAAUCAAACAACCAAAUAAUUAAGGAAUAAUAGUUCACUUCACUGUGCAUCUCGGGGAAGCAGAGUACAUGGCAUUAUUUUUUGUGAAGCACCAAUACAUGGAAGGGUGUUUGAUUUGUGUGCAGAUGUUGUAAGUACCGAGAUGGCUAUCUGAGUAGAUAAAUGCUUCAGGGACUUUGAGCCUUAGGAAAAUGGGAUCUGGCUAAAGUUUCUUUUUUCUGUUCUCUUGGUUGCUUGAAUCUUUUCUCUCCUUACAUAAGCCAGGUAAAAAUUGAUGCUCUCACUCUUCUAAGGUGUAGAAGUACAUAAACCAAUGAAAUUUCAGGGAUGAACACUUAGUGUCUCCAUGCAAUAACUGGUAUUUCUGCUGUAACCUCUGACUUCUGUGAUUAAAAUGCCACUUAGGGGCUGGGGAUAUAGCUCAGUUGGUAGAGUGCUUGCCUCGAAUGCACAAGGCUCUAGGUUCAAUACCGGGCACCACCAAAAAAACAAACAAACAAACAAACAAAAAACCACAAAAAAACUAGAACACUAUUUAGUGACCUUCCAGGGAAUGUGAAACUCUAUACUGGGUACCAUGCCUGGCUUCCUAUGGAGAAGAUGCUGGGGCCAAGUCCUACUGCUCUUAACCCCUGAACUGAACUGUUCACCUUGACCUGUCUGAUCUAAGAGCUGGGCCUCUCUGUACGCUCCCAGGGACUUACUUACUUGGUCACUGACCUCCUGCUUGUGCUAACUCCAGGACGGGUCACCUUUGGUUGUCUUUUUGGCCACCACCAAGGCUUUCGAUGACUGCAGUUCUAGAUACCGAUUCUCCUGCUCUGGCUGAGGGCCAGGUUCUCCACCCCCAACCAAAAGGGCUCAUGUUCUCCACUCCCCAGGCAAGAACAAGGACUCUAGAGAUGUGAAACGUUAAGGAAAUGGAGGUCACAUCCCAUGCCUUUCAUGGUGGUAGGGCCAUUUAAGAUGCAGGUGCCAAAGGGAUGACAUGGACAAAGAAACGGAGAGCUGUCAGGGAAACUGCCUAGGGAGGUGACCUGCAGGAGGAGAUUUCAGACAGGUGAAGGGCAUUCCAGAGCUCAUCAUCCAUCUAUUCACUCGACAACCACAAGUUCACAAUCAGUGGAUGAGGCACUUUAGGAAACAGUGACAUAACACAGGAGACCUGUGCUCACUGACACACAGAGCUAGGCCAUGAGGACCACUGCUGAAGCCCUACCUUCUUGGGAAACUGUUUUCUGCUUUCAACUCCUGUGCCUGAUAGCAAGUCAACAGGGGUGAAUCUGGAUGUUGCAUAUAAGAGCCCAAAUCCACCCAGGUAUAUUGGACCCUAAGUUAUAUUUCUUCACUGAAGGCUAAAACCUAUUAGCUCAAAACCUAGCUGGUGCCAAGCUCAAAUUUUUGCAAACUCAAAUUUUUGGGCUAUUUUUUUCAGUAGCCCAAACAAGCAGAUUCUUAAUUAUUUAGAGCCCAUUUUGCAUGCCCCCAUAAAACGACAACCAGCAUCAGCUGGCCAGUGACAAGAUAGAGACUUUGUGUUUAUAAAACCCUUAGCAACAACUGCCUUUGGAGCAAUCGGUCCCAGAGAUGCACUGUCAGGCUGCUGAGUGACAGACAUCACCUGGACACCUUAGAAGCCCCGUCUGUGGUCCCCCUACCUAGGAAUUCCCUUGCCCUCCUCCUCUGACCUUUUACAAACUCUUGCUCUGAUGGAUUGCAAGUCUACAAAUCUACCAAAGUGUUGUCUAACAAAGCUUCUAUGUUCUCCUACCACUUUCAGGUCAUAUCUUUUUCUUUGACCAUCCCCCAAUCUUCUGAACUCCCUAUACCAGGCUGCUAUGUUUACAAUCAUGUGACACUUUUCUCCUGAGGCUGACUGGAGGAUGGGUAACACCUGAUUCAAGGUAGCCAAUCAGAUCAUCAUUCUUGGGAAAGUGGAAUUUAGAGAAUGGAAAACAAUAUUAGACACCCAAGUAUCCUUAUAACUAGGUUCUCCCUCCUCCCUAGAAAAACUAAGUUUUCUUUGCAAUGACACCAUAUUAACUAAUGUUAAAACAGAAAUAAAAUAAAAUAAAUCAGUGUUGGGAAAGAUUAAUUUCAACAAGUGGUGAUCUAGGAGGACUAUCUCACUCCAGUCAGAAUGGCAGUUAUCAUUAAUACAAGCAACAAUAAGUAUUGGCAAAGAUGUGGGAGAAAAGGUACGCUUCUACAUUGCUGGUGGGACUGCAAAUUGUUGCAACCAAUCUGGAAAGCAGUAUGGAGAUUCCUUAGAAAACUUAGAAUAGAACCAUCAUUUGACCCAGCUAUCCUACUCCUCAGUCUAUGCCCUAAAGACUUAAAAACAGCAUACUACAGUAACACAGACACUUCAGUGUUUAGAGCAGCACAAUUCACAAUUGCUAAACUGUGGAAGCAACCUAGAUGCCUUUCAAUAGAUGAAUGGAUAAAGAAACUGUGGUAUAUAUACACAAUGGAAUAUUGCUCAGCAUUAAACGAGAAUAAAGUUAUAGCAUUUGCAGGUAAAUGGAUGGCAUUGGAGAAUAUCAUGCUAAGUAAAGUAAGCCAAUCCCAAAAAAUCAAAGGCCAAAUGUUCUCUCUGAUAAGUGGAUGCGGACUCAUAAUGGUUGGGGGGAGAAUGGAGGAACUUUAAUUGGGCAAAGAGAGGAAGGGCAGAGGAGGGGGUAUGGGGGUAGGAAAGAUGGAAUCAUUGCCCACGGUACGUGUUGACUGCACAUAUGGUGCAGCUCUAUAGUGUGCACAACCAGAGAAAUGAAAAGUUGUGCUUUAUUUGUGUACAAUGAAUUAAAAAGCAUUCUGCUAUCAUGAAUAACUAAUAAGAAUAAAUAAAAAAAAGGAAUUGGGAAUGGGAAGGGGGCCUUAAAGAAUUCACACCUACGGAGGUGUGAAUGAGCAAGACAGGUACUCAAAGGAAAGAAAGUGGGUCAGAGAGCAAGAGGAACUGGAGGGAUGGGGAGGAACCAAGGUGGGACAGUUAGACUGAGCCCCAGCAUGGAUACCUGGGGGCGCUUAGGAUGCAGGUCAGGGGAUCCCAAUAUAACCAAAGGAAACCACAUUGUUUAUUUCCUGAUGUACUGAGGUAUUUAUAGUACAUGCUGAGACUGGUGCUGAGGUGAUUUGUCUUGUUCCCUCUUCAGGGAAGCUAGAAAACCAGAGAAAAGGCUGUGAAAAUACAGCCUGUCCUCAAGAGAAAAGUCAAAGGCAAUCAAAAGGACUGAUCUUGAGAUGACUUGGACAUCAUAAUUAACAGAUAUUUUAAACAGCCAUUAAAGCUAGGCAUAUGAUGCUAUUCUAUGCCCAUAAUAUUUUACAGAAACAAAAACAUUAUGCACACGGCAUAAAAGAAAGAAUGUUCAUGAUGAACAAGAACUGACUGGAAGAUAUAUUUUUUAAAAAUAUGAAAUUAAAAAUUUUUUUCUGAAUGUGCUUCAGAGAAGAAUGGAAAGGAUGAAAGAAUCUAUGAUCUUGAAGACAAAGCAAAGGAUUAUCCAACCUGUAAAACAGAGAGAAAAAAUAAAGAAUAAAAAAAAAAUUAGACCCUUGGGGACCUGUGAGACUGACUACCCAUCCAUCCAUCAGCAUAUAGCAAUUAAAGUCUGAGAGGAGAGGAGAGGAUAAAGAAGAGAAAAAUAAUGAGGCAUCAAGAUUAUUUGAAUAAAUAACGACCAGAAACUCUCCAAAUUUGGUUAAAGACAUACCUUUUCAUAUUUAAGAAACUCAGUAAACACCAAGAAACACAUAGAAAGAAAACCACACCUAGUCAUAUCAUAAACAAACUUCUGAAAACGAUUUUAAAAACGAAACAUGGCGAAUGCACAAUAUAGAAGACCAAAGGCAAAGAUGACAGCAGAUUUCCCAUAAGAAACUAUGCAAAUUAGAAGACAAUGGGGCUAUAUAUGUAAAGUGCUGAAAGAAAAAAAGUCAAAUUAGCAUUCUAUAACCAUAGAAAACAGCUUUCAAAAAUAAAAAAGGAAAAAAAAUACUUUCUGAUGUGCAAAAGUUAAAAGAACUCAUCACGAGCAGACCUGCACUAUAGGAAACAUUCAAGGAAGUCCUUCAGGCAAAAAGAAAGUAAUAAUAGAAUAUGGAUAUAUACAAAAGGAAAAAAGCACCACAUGAUAACUGCUAUAGUGUGGAUCUUAAGUGUUCACCCAAAGGUUCAUGUAUUAAAGGUCUGCUUGCCCGGGAGGUGCUAUUGGGAGGCAGUGAAACCUUUAAUAGGUGGGACCUAGUAGAAAAUGAUUAGGUCACUGGAAGCGUGCCCCAGAGGCAAUUCUGCUCCCUUCCUAUUUUUCUAUUUUGCUCCCUAACCAUUAGGAGAGUGGUUCUGCUCUACCAUGUGCUACAGCCAUGAUGUGCCGCCUUAAUACAGGCCCAAAGCACAGACUGAAGCCUUCAAAACUGUGAGCCAAAAUAACCUAUCUCUUUAUAAGUAUUUGUUUCAGGUGUUUUAUUAUAAUAAUGGAAGGAUGACUAACAAAAUAACUACAUAGGUUAAUUUAAAACACCUUUUUUUCCCCUUAAUAUUUGUUUUGCUAAAAGACAAUUGACUGUUUAAAUAAAAAUAAUGGUAAUGAAUGGCAGGGUUAAUAUGGAACUGAGUAGUAAAACAGAGGAGGGCAAUAGUACACAGGCCAGGAGGAAAGAUAUGGUUAUGCAUUAAGAUUCUCAUACAUUAAUUAGUAUAAUAUUGCUGGAAGGUGGAUGGUGAUAAGUAAAAGAUGUUUGCAGAAAAUGGCAAGGCAACUACUAAAAUAAUAUUAUUUUUAUGUUCAUUAAAAUGGUAAAUAAGAUAAAUAUGAAUAUUAAGAGGGAGAUGAAGCCAGGCACAGUGGUGCAUGCCUGUAAUCCCUGCAUCUCUUGGGAGGCUGAGGCAGGAGGAUAGCGAGUUCAAAGCCAGCCUCAGCAAAAUCAAGGCACUAAGCAGCUCAGUGAGACCCUGUCUCUAAACAAAAUACAAAAUAGGCCUGGGGAUGUGGCUCAGUGGCCAAGUGCACCUGAGUUCAAUCCCCAGUACCCCAGCCCCCACUCCUCCAAAAAAAAGGGGAGAAGAGUCACAAAAGAAUACUCAAUCCACAAGGAGGCAGAAAAAAGAAAAAGGUAAUAAAGAACAGAUUAAGUAUCAAAAAAAAAAAACAACAAUUAA